rnacentral:rRNA from 1 species
GAUGAACGCUAGCUACAGGCUUAACACAUGCAAGUCGAGGGGCAGCAUGGUCUUAGCUUGCUAAGGCCGAUGGCGACCGGCGCACGGGUGAGUAACACGUAUCCAACCUGCCGUCUACUCUUGGACAGCCUUCUGAAAGGAAGAUUAAUACAAGAUGGCAUCAUGAGUCCGCAUGUUCACAUGAUUAAAGGUAUUCCGGUAGACGAUGGGGAUGCGUUCCAUUAGAUAGUAGGCGGGGUAACGGCCCACCUAGUCUUCGAUGGAUAGGGGUUCUGAGAGGAAGGUCCCCCACAUUGGAACUGAGACACGGUCCAAACUCCUACGGGAGGCAGCAGUGAGGAAUAUUGGUCAAUGGGCGAGAGCCUGAACCAGCCAAGUAGCGUGAAGGAUGACUGCCCUAUGGGUUGUAAACUUCUUUUAUAAAGGAAUAAAGUCGGGUAUGGAUACCCGUUUGCAUGUACUUUAUGAAUAAGGAUCGGCUAACUCCGUGCCAGCAGCCGCGGUAAUACGGAGGAUCCGAGCGUUAUCCGGAUUUAUUGGGUUUAAAGGGAGCGUAGAUGGAUGUUUAAGUCAGUUGUGAAAGUUUGCGGCUCAACCGUAAAAUUGCAGUUGAUACUGGAUAUCUUGAGUGCAGUUGAGGCAGGCGGAAUUCGUGGUGUAGCGGUGAAAUGCUUAGAUAUCACGAAGAACUCCGAUUGCGAAGGCAGCCUGCUAAGCUGCAACUGACAUUGAGGCUCGAAAGUGUGGGUAUCAAACAGGAUUAGAUACCCUGGUAGUCCACACGGUAAACGAUGAAUACUCGCUGUUUGCGAUAUACUGCAAGCGGCCAAGCGAAAGCGUUAAGUAUUCCACCUGGGGAGUACGCCGGCAACGGUGAAACUCAAAGGAAUUGACGGGGGCCCGCACAAGCGGAGGAACAUGUGGUUUAAUUCGAUGAUACGCGAGGAACCUUACCCGGGCUUAAAUUGCAGAUGAAUUACGGUGAAAGCCGUAAGCCGCAAGGCAUCUGUGAAGGUGCUGCAUGGUUGUCGUCAGCUCGUGCCGUGAGGUGUCGGCUUAAGUGCCAUAACGAGCGCAACCCUUGUUGUCAGUUACUAACAGGUUCCGCUGAGGACUCUGACAAGACUGCCAUCGUAAGAUGUGAGGAAGGCGGGGAUGACGUCAAAUCAGCACGGCCCUUACGUCCGGGGCUACACACGUGUUACAAUGGGGGGUACAGAGGGCCGCUACCACGCGAGUGGAUGCCAAUCCCCAAAACCUCUCUCAGUUCGGACUGGAGUCUGCAACCCGACUCCACGAAGCUGGAUUCGCUAGUAAUCGCGCAUCAGCCACGGCGCGGUGAAUACGUUCCCGGGCCUUGUACACACCGCCCGUCAAGCCAUGGGAGCCGGGGGUACCUGAAGUGCGUAACCGCGAGGAGCGCCCUAGGGUAAAACUGGUGACUGGGGC